UGGAAUUUCAGGUAAACCAAGAAUAGUUUUUUUAGUGUAAGUAUGUCCCGUGUGACAUUUGGUACAUACUUAUACUAAAAAGUGUCCAUUUUUAUUUGAAAUUAAAAUUUAACU
rnacentral:miRNA from 1 species